ensembl:snRNA U2 U2 spliceosomal RNA
AUAACUUCUCAGCCUUUUGGCUAAGAUUAUGUGUAAUAUCUAUUCUUAUCAGUUUAAUAUUUGAUACAUCCUCUAUCCACGGACAAUAUAGUAAAUGGAUUUUUGGAGCAGGGAGAUGGAAUAGGAGGUUCUUCCAUCCACUCCACACAUCGACCUUGUAUUGCAGUUCCUCCAGGCAUGUUGCACUGCCU